rnacentral:misc_RNA from 1 species
AAGUCGUAACAAGGUUUCCGUAGGUGAACCUGCGGAAGGAUCAUUAACGAGUUUUGAAAGGGUUGUAGCUGGCCUCCCGAGGCAUGUGCACGCCCGCUCAUCCGCUCUACACCUGUGCACUAUUGUAGGUCGGUUUAGCGGGGUCCUCCGGGGCUUCGCGGCCCUCCUAUGUAACACCACAAACCAUACAGUAUCAGAAUGUGAACGCGAUAAUACGCAUUUUAUACAACUUUCAGCAACGGAUCUCUUGGCUCUC